rnacentral:rRNA from 1 species
GAUGAACGCUGGCGGCGUGCCUAAUACAUGCAAGUCGAGCGAACGGACGAGAAGCUUGCUUCUCUGAUGUUAGCGGCGGACGGGUGAGUAACACGUGGAUAACCUACCUAUAAGACUGGGAUAACUUCGGGAAACCGGAGCUAAUACCGGAUAAUAUUUUGAACCGCAUGGUUCAAAAGUGAAAGACGGUCUUGCUGUCACUUAUAGAUGGAUCCGCGCUGCAUUAGCUAGUUGGUAAGGUAACGGCUUACCAAGGCAACGAUGCAUAGCCGACCUGAGAGGGUGAUCGGCCACACUGGAACUGAGACACGGUCCAGACUCCUACGGGAGGCAGCAGUAGGGAAUCUUCCGCAAUGGGCGAAAGCCUGACGGAGCAACGCCGCGUGAGUGAUGAAGGUCUUCGGAUCGUAAAACUCUGUUAUUAGGGAAGAACAUAUGUGUAAGUAACUGUGCACAUCUUGACGGUACCUAAUCAGAAAGCCACGGCUAACUACGUGCCAGCAGCCGCGGUAAUACGUAGGUGGCAAGCGUUAUCCGGAAUUAUUGGGCGUAAAGCGCGCGUAGGCGGUUUUUUAAGUCUGAUGUGAAAGCCCACGGCUCAACCGUGGAGGGUCAUUGGAAACUGGAAAACUUGAGUGCAGAAGAGGAAAGUGGAAUUCCAUGUGUAGCGGUGAAAUGCGCAGAGAUAUGGAGGAACACCAGUGGCGAAGGCGACUUUCUGGUCUGUAACUGACGCUGAUGUGCGAAAGCGUGGGGAUCAAACAGGAUUAGAUACCCUGGUAGUCCACGCCGUAAACGAUGAGUGCUAAGUGUUAGGGGGUUUCCGCCCCUUAGUGCUGCAGCUAACGCAUUAAGCACUCCGCCUGGGGAGUACGACCGCAAGGUUGAAACUCAAAGGAAUUGACGGGGACCCGCACAAGCGGUGGAGCAUGUGGUUUAAUUCGAAGCAACGCGAAGAACCUUACCAAAUCUUGACAUCCUUUGACAACUCUAGAGAUAGAGCUUUCCCCUUCGGGGGACAAAGUGACAGGUGGCGCAUGGUUGUCGUCAGCUCGUGUCGUGAGAUGUUGGGUUAAGUCCCGCAACGAGCGCAACCCUUAAGCUUAGUUGCCAUCAUUAAGUUGGGCACUCUAAGUUGACUGCCGGUGGCAAACCGGAGGAAGGUGGGGAUGACGUCAAAUCAUCAUGCCCCUUAUGAUUUGGGCUACACACGUGCUACAAUGGACAAUACAAAGGGCAGCGAAACCGUGAGGUCAAGCAAAUCCCAUAAAGUUGUUCUCAGUUCGGAUUGUAGUCUGCAACUCGACUACAUGAAGCUGGAAUCGCUAGUAAUCGUAGAUCAGCAUGCUACGGUGAAUACGUUCCCGGGUCU